AUUCUAACCCAUUCUUCUCCCUCCUCUUCCUCUCCAGCCGCCUCCCCUCCCUCCUCUCUCUCCCUUCCUCCUCUUCUCCCUCUCGUCUUCCUCCUCUUCCUCUCCAGUCAUUCCUCUCUCCCAACACCGCCCAACACCGCCCGUCUCUCCUUCUCCCUUUUUCUCUCCUCUUCUCCUCUCCUCCCUCCUCCCUUCUUCUCCUCCGCCUCCACCACUCUCUCCAGCGCCUCCCGCCAGCCGCACAACAGUGACCGGCGAGCUGCCAGGCAGCAGCAAACCAGCAGCCAGAAGCUGCGACCAGCAGCCUCAACACCGCCCGUCUCUCCUCUCUUCCCUAUUUCCUUCUCUCCUCUUCUCAUCUCCGGCUAAGAACAAGAAACAAAAGCAGCAAGCUUUAGCGAAGAAAACGCCAGCCAGCAACAGUUCCGAUUCCGGCAGAAAGCUUGACCAAGCGGGCUCCGACGAAUCUCGGAAUUUGGAUUGUUAAAAGACGGAUCUCAACAGACCCGUCUCUGUUAUUUGAUUGCUUUGACAAGUUUCAAACUUGAAGUUCAAGUUGAAGAUUAGCCAUGAAGAAAGAUUUAUUUGUUUAAUUCAUAUAUUUGAAUCUAUAUUUUUCUUAUUUAUUUAUUUGAAUUUUUGUAAUAUUUGUAUAACUCUAAAGCUCUCAUAUGUAAAUUUAUUUGGGAGAUCGUCUAAGGGAAGGAGAUUUACAUGCUACUUGUUCAUUGUAAUUUUUUAAAGUUAUAAAUCAUGCCUAUAGGUUUAUUCUAUUUUUAAAUCUUUAACCACCUAGAAUUAUUGUUUGUAGGUGUUGUAAUCUAACCAAUUUUCAACAUGCUUGACGCUUUGUUUGUUUA